AAAAAGGUAUUAAAGUCUGGGCCAUAUGGUAUAUUUAUUUAUUUAUUUAAAUAUGUGCGCACUUUGGAUUGUGAUUGUGUGUAAUAGUGUUCCUCUUUUCAGUUACAAAAAAAGACACAGUCAGUUUCAGAUGCAAGUUUGCGCUGCAUUAGAUCAUAUCCUGAAGUGCUUCUCCUUUUGUGAAUGUAGUUUUUGCUUUUGCCUUCACGCACAAAUAAAAACAAUAAAGGUUAGAAAAGAUGGUAAUUAGAAACAUUUUAGUACGAUGCUGAUUACUUGACUGAAGCUAGUAUUGUAUGUGUUUUUAAACUGUGCACUGAUAUGUGGUCAUGUGAAACAGUUCAGGAUCAAGAUCGAAGAAUCAAGACUGAAGAGUCUCUAGCAGCUGCUCUUUGAUGAUUGAUGAUAAAAAGCUGAUUGUGUUACUGCUCAAUACAGAGUCUUCUAUAGCGAUAAGAGUCCAUUAUAAUGCUGGCCGAAUUUAAGAUAAGGACAUACACUUUGGUUAGUUAUUACACAAUGCACCAUAUUACAUUUUCAUUUUAAGUGCCACUAUUACACAUUGUGUUUUAGUUGUUACAUAAUGAACUAAAAUUAGAUUCAUUGUGUCAAGUUAUUAUAUAAUGUGUUGUUAAAAGCUAUAAUAGGAUAUAACAAACUGCACAAGCCGAUUAGACUCAUUGUAACAAGUGUGGGAAAACUUUUGUACAUGAGCUGAUAUAUUUGAAGUUGAUUUUAAAUAAGCUGAAGCUUUCGGUCUCGCUUAUGAACUUUUUGCUGUUUUGUUUUUACCAGAGCAACACCUCUCAUAUAGCAGUAGGCCUCUCUACUGUGGUCUGACUCAGAGCUGAGAGUUUUUUAGAUCACUGUGAAGUCCUCAAGCUGAACGCUACUUGAUGCCACAGCAGUUUGUAUAUCAAGAGUUCAGCCGCAGAGCACUAAGACUUCAACUGAUGAAGCUCAGCUAUUAUGACAUUUCAUUAUGAUACUGUAAAUUGGAAAUUGACACAUAAUACACACUGCCAUUAUGGUACGUCAGUGGUCUGUACAUUUGUUUUAAUUAACUAGGUAUGAAUCAGUGUUUAUAUUGUAGAUGAGUUUUUUUUUUUAUUAUGUAUUUUACAAAACAAAAAAUAGCAGACAGAUCAAUCCAGACAAUGUUGUACUGUUGUAUUUCUUUUGUUUUAUUUUGUUGCCAGUCCGGUGUUGUGAUAAGUUUGUACAGAUGAUUAAAAUGUUUAAAACA